rnacentral:rRNA from 1 species
UGAAUACGAGACGCUACGGCGUCGAAGCAGUCUAUGUCAUACUUCCAAGAAAAGCUCGCAAUGUCAUAAACAAAUAAUGCCUGUACCAUAACCGACACAGGUGGGUAGGUAGAGUAUACUAAGGGGCGCGAGAUAACUCUCUCUAAGGAACUCGGCAAAAUGACUCCGUAACUUCGGGAGAAGGAGUGCCUUAUUUAUAAGGUUGCAAUAACAAGAUCCAAGCAACUGUUUAUCAAAAACACAGGUCUCCGCUAAGUCGUAAGACGAUGUAUGGGGGCUGACGCCUGCCCAGUGCCAGAAGGUUAAAGAAGUUGGUUAGCAUUCGCGAAGCUGAUAACUGAAGCCCUGGUGAACGGCGGCCGUAACUAUAACGGUCCUAAGGUAGCGAAAUUCCUUGUCGGGUAAGUUCCGACCCGCACGAAAGGCGUAAUGAUUUGGAUACUGUCUCGGAGAGGGGCUCGGUGAAAUAGACUUGUCUGUGAAGAUGCGGACUACCUGCACCUGGACAGAAAGACCCUAUGAAGCUUUACUGUAACUUGAAAUUGAAAUUGGACUUUAUUUGCGCAGCAUAGGUGGGAGGCGUUGAGAGUAUUCUUGCGGGAAUAUUGGAGCCAUCAGUGAGAUACCACUCUUGUAAUGUUAGAUUUCUAACUUUGGAUCAUUAUCUGGUCAAAGAACAGUUUCAGGCGGGCAGUUUGACUGGGGCGGUCGCCUCCCAAAUGGUAACGGAGGCGUACAAAGGUUUCCUCUGAACGGGUAGAAAUCGUAUCUAGAGUGUAAAGGCAUAAGGAAGCUUGACUGUGAGACCUACAAGUCGAGCAGGGACGAAAGUCGGUCUUAGUGAUCUGACGGUGCUGAGUGGAAAGGCCGUCACUCAACGGAUAAAAGUUACUCUAAGGAUAACAGGCUGAUCUCCCCCAAGAGUUCACAUCGACGGGGAGGUUUGGCACCUCGAUGUCGGCUCAUCGCAUCCUGGGGCGGUAGUACGUCCCAAGGGUUGGGCUGUUCGCCCAUGAAAGCGGUACGCGAGCUGGGUUCAGAACGUCGUGAGACAGUUCGGUCCAUAUCCGGUGUAGGCGUUAGAAUAUUGAGAGGAGCCUUCUUUAGUACGAGAGGACCGAGAAGGACAUACCUCUGGUGUACCAGUUAUCGUGCCAACGGUAAACGCUGGGUAGCUAUGUAUGGAGAGGAUAACCGCUGAAAGCAUCUAAGUGGGAAGCCCACCUCAAGAUAAGUAUUCUCAU